GAUGAACGCUCGCUACAGGCUUAACACAUGCAAGUCGCGGGGCAGCAUGGGGGUUGCUUGCCAUCCCCGAUGGCGACCGGCGCACGGGUGAGUAACGCGUAUCCAACCUGCCCUUCACCACGGGAUAACCCGGCGAAAGUCGGACUAAUACCGUAUGUUGUCCAUUGACGGCAUCCGAUUUGGACGAAAGGUUUGGCGGUGAAGGAUGGGGAUGCGUCCGAUUAGCUGGACGGCGGGGUGACGGCCCACCGUGGCGACGAUCGGUAGGGGUUCUGAGAGGAAGGUCCCCACACUGGAACUGAGACACGGCCCAGACUCCUACGGGAGGCAGCAGUGAGGAAUAUUGGUCAAUGGGCGUAAGCCUGAACCAGCCAAGUAGCGUGCAGGAUGACGGCCCUAUGGGUUGUAAACUGCUUUUAUGCGGGGAUAAAGUGGCCCACGUGUGGGUUUUUGCAGGUACCGCAUGAAUAAGGACCGGCUAAUUCCGUG
rnacentral:rRNA from 1 species